AAAUAUAACCUCUUUAUGGUAGCAAGGCACAUUUUUGCACAACAUUUCUAGGAAAACCAAAAAGUCAGGUACCAAUUACAGCUUCGAAAAACAAAAUUUAGAAUGUCUCAAUCAUUUGACAAAUUGAAAAACUUGGGGAUAAUUGUGAAGGGACCUUAUCUAGUAACUUCUGCCCCAGUAGGUCCAUUUCUUUGCAGGCUUUCCAGAGGCAAAGCAUUUAGUACCUUCAAGGAGUUCUGGCUGCUCAAAUGGUGUACAAAGGCUCUUGGCUGCUCCCAUCUCCCCUCUUGUUCGUUCUUUCACAUCUUGCUCCACCUCCUCCUCAUCGCACCAAGGAGCUAAGAUCAUUUUCCUAUGGCUAAGAGCCUCCUUGAAUUCAUCCCAAGUCUUUACAACUUGAAUGCAAGCAUCCCGCUUUUGCUUAGCAGCGUCAAACAAACUUUGAUUAAUGUCAUCCAGUAUACAUUUUACUUGCUCAACCAGAUUGACCCUGCUUAUAUCUUUUUUUGCUGCAUUGUCACGACGAACAGCCCGUACCUGAUUAUUUGCUAAGUCUUUUGGCCCAAUUUCAAUCCUUAAGGGAACACCUUUCAUUUCCCAGUGAGAGUAUUUCCAACCAGGUGAAUAAUUGUCCCUAAAAUCAGCUUCCGCCCGAAUGCCAGCCUUACAUAAAGUAUCCACAGUUUCAGUGCAGGCAUCAAAGAUUCCUUGAGUAUCAGCAUCUUUGUAUGGCACUGGAACCACAAUAGCUUGAACAGAUGCCACUUUAGGUGGCAGAACCAAGCCUUUGUCAUCUCCAUGAACCAUCACCAUCACCCCAAUCGUUCGAGUGCUAUAGGCCCAAGAGUUCUGCCACACCAUACCCUUCUCUCCCUUCUCAUUUUCAAAGUUUAUCUCAAACAUUUUUGCAAAAUUUUGUCCCAAACAGUGAGAAGUUGCACCUUGUAUACCACGUCCAGUGUUGGGAAUAAAUGCCUCAACACUAGUGGUGUAAAGUCCACCAGCAAAUUUCUCCAUCUCACUUUUCCUGCCUUUUAUAACAGGAAUAGCCAAGAAUUCUUCAUAUAUACGUCUAUAUAGUUCCAAUAUUUGAAGGACCUCCUCAUCCGCUUCUGCCUUUGUCGCAAAUGCAGUAUGCCCUUCCUGCCAAAGGAACUCCCGGCUCCUGAUAAAUGGAGUGGGAUUGCUAAAUUCCCAACGAACAACGUUGCACCACUGGUUAAGUUUCAAAGGCAAGUCUCGGUGUCCCCUUAUCCACUUAGAAAAGUAGGGGUACAUAACUGUCUCACUGGUUGGACGAAUAGCUACAGGAAUUUCCAAGUCAGAUUUCCCGGAUUUUGUCACCCAAGCAACCUCUGGAGCAAAGCCCUCUACGUGGUCCUUCUCCUUUUCCAAGACACUAGAUGAAACAAAAAGAGGGAAGUAGCAGUUCUUAAUUUUCAUUUUCUUGAUUUCAGCAUCAAAGAAUGCUUGCAUGAUCUCCCAAAUUGACAUUGCCCACGGCCUCAAAAUGUAACAGCCAGAAAUGUCAUAGUACUCAAUCAUCUCACCAUUGACGACCACCUCUGAAUACCACUCUCCAAAGCUCUCUUCCUUCUUAAAGGAGAGUCCUAACCCAGUCUCUUUCUUCACCUCCUUCUUUUUACCCCCACCAGCCAUUUCGCCAACUUAAAUUGACCACAAUACCAGUCUGAUUCGAUUCUCAGGUAGCGUUCUCUUUCUCUUCUCACUUAAAAGGGGGAAAAAGGGACGAUAAGAGCUAGGGUUAACAGUAGAAGGAAGAAAGAGAGUGCUGUGCCUCUGUAUAUAUAAAGCGC
rnacentral:misc_RNA from 1 species